rnacentral:misc_RNA from 1 species
CAAGGUCUCCGUUGGUGAACCAGCGGAGGGAUCAUUACAGAGUAUAACAACUCACAACCCUUUGUAAACCAUUUACCUCAGUUGCUUCGGCGGCCCCUCACGGGAGCCCGCCGGCAGUAUACCGAAUCUCUGUUUUCGAACCCGACGUAACGUCUGAGUGUUCUAAGCGAACUGUUAAAACUUUCAGCAACGGAUCUCUUGGCUCCAGCAUCGAUGAAGAACGCAGCGAAACGCGAUAUGUAAUGUGAAUUGCAGAAUUCAGUGAAUCAUCGAAUCUUUGAACGCACAUGGCGCCCCCUGGUAUUCCGGGGGGCAUGCCUGUCCGAGCGUCGUUUCAACCCUCGGGAGGACCGUCCUUACAGACGGCCCCGCCCGGCGUUGGGGAUCUGCGAACACAGCAGGCCCCGAAAAUCAGCGGCGGACCCGCGCGGCCCCUCCCUUGCGUAGUAGCAUUAGCCUCGCAUCGGUGACCCGUGGUGCUAUCCUGCCCCUAAACCCCCCGACAAGCCCGGCAUCGCCGGCACAAGGUUGACCUCGGAUCAGGUAGGAAUACCCGCUGAACUUAAGCAUAUCAAUAAGCGGAGGAAAAGAAACCAACAGGGAUUGCCCUAGUAACGGCGAGUGAAGCGGCAACAGCUCAAAUUUGAAAUCUGGCUCCUUCGGGGUCCGAGUUGUAAUUUGCAGAGGAUGCCUCGGGUGCGGGUUCCUUCCGAGUUCCCUGGAACGGGACGCCAUAGAGGGU